rnacentral:rRNA from 1 species
CUACCAUGGCAGUCACGGGUAACGGAGAAUUAGGGUUCGAUUCCGGAGAGGGAGCCUGAGAAACGGCUACCACAUCUACGGAAGGCAGCAGGAGCGAAAAUUGCCCAAUCCCGACACGGGGAGGCAGUGACGAGAAAUAACAACUCUUGGUUAUUCUAAGAAGUGUAAUGAGGAUAAUUUAAAACCCUUACCGAAAGCAAUUGGAGGGCAAGUCUGGUGCCAGCAGCCGCGGUAAUUCCAGCUCCAAUAGCGUAUAUUAAAGUUGUUGCAGUUAAAAAGCUCGUAGUUGAAGUUCUGGCUGUUUGACCCUCGAGCUCUGUAGCCGAGGGCUCAACAGUCAUCCGCUUGCAAACAUAUGUUCGCCUUUAACCGGGCGGCUGUGUGAGUAAGCAUUUUACCUUGAGAAAAACAGAGUGUUCCAGGCAGGUUUGUCCGGAAUGCAUUAGCAUGGAAUAAUAGAAUAUGACUGAAGUCGAUUUAUUGGUUUGAGGCUUUAGUAAUGAUUAAUAGGAACAGUCGGGGGCAUUCGUACUCAGCAGUCAGAGGUGAAAUUCUAAGAAUUGCUGAAGACGAACUAAUGCGAAAGCAUUUGCCAAGGAUGUUUUCAUUAAUCAAGAACGAAAGUUAGGGGAUC